rfam:Firmicutes bacterium CAG:95 genomic scaffold, scf190
CCGUGCAGCUCUUGUUUGUAAGGAGCUGCUAUGGCUGCCCGGAGUAAGUGGCGUUAACGAUUGGGUCUUACGCAAUGGAGACUGCGAACCGUGUCAGGUUGGGAACAAAGCAGCACUAAGCAGAACCUGCCAUGUGCCGUAAGGGUGCCUGAUCUCAGUUAACUGCUUUGGUAACGCGUAGCAGUUCCUUAUGGACAAAGUCCACGG